rnacentral:rRNA from 1 species
GAAAAGGAUGUGGGAUUUCGAAGACAACCAGGAUGUUGGCUCAGAAGCAGCCAUUCAUUCAAAGAGUGCGUAAUAGCUCACUGGUCGAGUGAAGUUGCGCGGAAAAUUACCGGGGCUAAGCUAUACACCGAAAUUGCGGAUUUAUAUUUGAAAGACAAUGUAAGUGGUAGAGGAGCAUUCUGUAGUAGGAAGAAGCAUGACCGUAAGGACAUGUGGACGAAGCAGAAGAGAGAAUGCUGGAAUAAGUAGCGAGAGGAUGGUGAGAAUCCAUCCCGUCGAAAAUCUAAGGUUUCCCAGGGAAGGUUCGUCCGCCUGGGGUAAGUCGGGACCUAAGGAGAGGCCGAAAGGCGUAUCUGAUGGAUAGCAGGUUGAAAUUCCUGCACUACGAAUAUACUUAAAAGAUUCAAGGGACGCAGAAGUGGAAGAUAACCAAGUAAGAGGAAAAGCUUGGCUCGCAAGAGGGAGUGAAAAUUAAAAGUAACGAAGUAUCAAGAAGCACGCUGACGAGAAAAGCUUGAAGAUAUUGUAUAUAAGUACCCGUACCGCAAACCGACACAGGUAGAUGAGGAGAGGAUCCUAAGACGAGCGGGAGAAGCAUUGUUAAGGAACUCGGCAAACUAACCCCGUAACUUCGGAAUAAGGGGUGCUGAUGUAACAGUCAGUCGCAGAGAAAAGGCCCAAGCAACUGUUUAACAAAAACAUAGGUUUCUGCUAAAUCGAAAGAUGAAGUAUAGGAGCUGACGCCUGCCCAGUGCUGGAAGGUUAAGGGAAAGAGUUAGGGUUAAACCGAAGCUUAGAACUGAAGCCCCAGUGAACGGCGGCCGUAACUAUAACGGUCCUAAGGUAGCGAAAUUCCUUGUCAGGUAAGUUCUGACCCGCACGAAAGGCGUAAUGAUUUGGGCGCUGUCUCGACAAUGUCCCCGGCGAAAUUGUAGUACUAGUGAAGAUGCUAGUUACCUGCGAUAAGACAGAAAGACCCCAUGGAGCUUUACUGCAGUUUGAUACUGGGUUUCGAUGAUUUAUGUACAGGAUAGUUGGGAGACUAUGAAAGAGAGGCGUCAGCUUCUCCGGAGUCGUUGUUGGGAUACCAACCUUAAGUUAUUGAAAUUCUAACUUGUAAUCGUAAACCGGUUAGAGGACAAUGUCAGACGGGCAGUUUGACUGGGGCGGUCGCCUCCUAAAGAGUAACGGAGGCGCCCAAAGGUUUCCUCAGCGCGGACAGAAAUCGCGCGAAAGAGUGCAAAGGCAGAAGGAAGCUUAACUGAGAGACAGACAUGUCGACCAGAUACGAAAGUAGGGCUUAGUGAUCCGGUGGUUGUAAAUGGAAAUGCCAUCGCUCAACGGACAAAAGUUACCCUGGGGAUAACAGGCUUAUCUCCCCCAAGAGUUCACAUCGACGGGGAGGUUUGGCACCUCGAUGUCGGCUCAUCGCAUCCUGGAGCUGAAGUCGGUUCCAAGGGUUGGGCUGUUCGCCCAUUAAAGCGGUACGCGAGCUGGGUUCAGAACGUCGUGAGACAGUUCGGUCCCUAUCCGUUGUGGGCGCAGGAAAUUUGAGAGGAGCUGUCCUUAGUACGAGAGGACCGGGAUGGACGUACCUCUGGUGUACCGGUUGCAGACCAACUGCACAGCCGGGUAGCUAUGUAUGGAACGGAUAAACGCUGAAGGCAUCUAAGCGUGAAGCCGCCCUCAAGAUAAGAUUUCCCAUUCUUCGGAAGUAAGAUCCCUUAAAGAUAAUGAGGUUGAUAGGUUGGAGGUGUAAGCAUGGUAACAUGUUCAGCUGACCAAUACUAAUAGAUCGAGGGCUUGACCA